UAUGCUGAGGGCACCCCCUGCAGGUUUGGAGCACUUCCGUUAAAGUGACUGGUUGUGCAAUGUUUUUCAUUUGCAUGCAUAAAUUACUAAGUGUACAAAAUGUCAUUUUUGGCCCUCUGGGGGACCCUGGGAUGCUCUUAGAAUGUCUCAAGCAAAAUGUUUUAUUUAUUCUUCAUUCAUUUAAGUUGUAUGUAAGAGUACGUGUGGGGUGUGAAUGUGUUUGUUUGUCUAUACGUGACCCUGCAACAGACUGGCGUCCUGUCCAGGGUGUAGCCCUCUUCAUGCCCUAUGACUGCUGGGACAGGUUCCAGCUCCCCGCAACCUGAUCUUAAAAGGAAGAAGCUGUUCGGA